rnacentral:rRNA from 1 species
UACAGAGGUCUCAAGCGUUGUUCGGAUUCAUUGGGCGUAAAGGGUGCGUAGGUGGCGCUGUAAGUCAGGUGUGAAAUUUCGGAGCUUAACUCCGAAACUGCAUUUGAUACUGCGGUGCUUGAGGACUGGAGAGGAGACUGGAAUUCACGGUGUAGCAGUGAAAUGCGUAGAGAUCGUGAGGAAGACCAGUGGCGAAGGCGGGUCUCUGGGCUGACACUGACGCUCAUGCACGAAAGCGUGGGGAGCAAACAGG